UACAGAGGUCUCAAGCGUUGUUCGGAUUCAUUGGGCGUAAAGGGUGCGUAGGCGGCGCGGUAAGUCGGGUGUGAAAUCUUGGAGCUUAACUCCGAAACUGCAUUCGAUACUGCCGUGCUUGAGGACUGGAGAGGAGACUGGAAUUUACGGUGUAGCGGUGAAAUGCGUAGAUAUCGUAAGGAAGACCAGUGGCGAAGGCGGGGUCUCUGGACAGUUCCUGACGCUGAGGCACGAAGGCCAGGGGGAGCAAACGGG
rnacentral:rRNA from 1 species